rnacentral:rRNA from 1 species
UACGUAGGGUGCAAGCGUUGUCCGGAAUUACUGGGCGUAAAGCGUGCGUAGGCGGUUGCUGAAGUCCGUUGUGAAAGCCCCGGGCUUAACCUGGGAAUGGCAGUGGAAACUAGGCGACUUGAAUCUGGCAGAGGGGGGUGGAAUGCCACGUGUAGCAGUGAAAUGCGUAGAUAUCUGGAGGAACACCGGUGGCGAAGGCGGCAUCCUGGACCGGUAUUGACGCUGAGGCGCGAAAGCUAGGGGAGCAAACGGG